GACGAACGCUGGCGGCGUGCUUAACACAUGCAAGUCGAACGGAAAGGCCUCUUUCGGGGGGUACUCGAGUGGCGAACGGGUGAGUAACACGUGAGUAACCUGCCCUUGACUUUGGGAUAACUUCAGGAAACUGGGGCUAAUACCGGAUAGGAGCUCCUGCUGCAUGGUGGGGGUUGGAAAGUUUCGGCGGUUGGGGAUGGACUCGCGGCUUUCAGCUUGUUGGUGGGGUAGUGGGUUACCAAGGCCUUGACGGGUAGCCGGCCUGAGAGGGUGACCGGCCACAUUGGGACUGAGAUACGGCCCAGACUCCUACGGGAGGCAGCAGUGGGGAAUAUUGCACAAUGGGUGGAAGCCUGAUGCAGCAACGCCGUGUGCGGGAUGACGGCCUUCGGGUUGUAAACCGCUUUCGCUCAUGACGAAGCUUUGUGUGACGGUAGUGGGUAAAGAAGCACCGGCUAACUACGUG
rnacentral:rRNA from 1 species